ACGUCGACAUCAUCGUGUGAAGGACAUUGCGUACUGUGAAACCAAGUUUUUUUUUAACGUGAUUAUUUGUGUCAUGAUUUGUGUUGUCGAGAUUUCAAGACUCGUCUGAUGCUUUAUGGAUGCAGGGAUUUGGUCAGGAAUAACCAGACAUCUUGUGAGGCAAUUGAUCCUAGCGGUCGGUAUUCGAUGUUCCGAAACCUAACACUAGCAGAAGCAUUGCUGUACGAAGUGCAAGAACCGUGCGGCUCCUUGUCCAGCCAGCCCAUCAGAAUUGCUAAUAUCAUCCCCGAUGAACCAUCCCUUUCAUCAUAUAUUCAAUCAUAUUCGCAGCAAAUUUGCAAAUUGCCACAUGUUUCUCUUCGGACAUUCCCGCGAAACGCAAACGUAGACCAUACGGUUACAGACCAAAAUUGCAGAACCAGUAUCAGCAUUUAAUAAUUUCCACGUACCUUGACAUCACGAGCGAAAAUGAAAAGGGCUUUAUCAACCGUGGAAAUAUAAUGCAAUAAUAAUCAGAAUUUCACAACAACCCAAUUUUUCAACCGACGCUAGUCAACUAGUUUGUUUCGGACCAGUUAACCUCUGCAGUCUACAACGCACCUGCACAGCGGCAACAUCUAGUAGAUUAUUAUUACAAACCCUUGAAAAACCCAUCAAUCACAUCUCAAAGGAUACGCAUCUACAUGAGGGCAAUCUCUGGGGUCGAAGAGGACACUGGACAACGAGGAUCGCCGUCGCAGCCAUUGGAAUAUCGCCCAAGAUUCUGAGAAGGGCCACAUCAUCAAAGAAGAGGACGGUUGGACAACGAGGGUCACCGCCAGUAUCCUAGCCCAAAAUUGCUAGGAGGGCUGGCAACACCACCGAGGAAGAUUAGUGGACGUCGGGGAUCGCCGUCGAAGUCUCCAAGGAUUGUCAGGUGUUAUUUACCAAUUUUGAGUGUCUAAUCGCGUUUUUUUUUUUAUGUAUUUUGGAUCGUCAACAUCACCACCGAAGAGGGCAAUGGACGACGAGGUUCACUGUCGGAGCCACCAGGAUCGACGCCUAAAAUAGUCAAAUAUUUAAUUGAAAGUCUUAGGGUUUGAACUAUGAAUUUAUUUUGCUUUAUUUAUUUAGGAGGGUCUCACCACCAUCGAAGAGGAUGUUGGGCAUCGAGGAUGAUCGCUGUAGCAACGAGAUUGUCGGCACGGAGUGUCUCACCAUCACCAACGAGGACACUGGACGCCGAAGAGGGCGCUGGAGCACUGAUAUCGUCGCCGUAAAUGUUUCAGGUAUAUGAUUUACUCGUUUAAUUAUCUAAUCAUGUUUUUUUAUGUAUUUAGGAGAUGUCCAUCAUCGCCGAAGACGACAAAACGAGGCUCGCCGUCGGAGUCGCUAGUAUCGUCGCCCAAAAUUAUCAAAAGGGCCCCACCACCAUCGAAGAGGAUGCUGGACAUCGAGGUUCGUCGCUGGAGCAGCGUGAUCGUCGCAUUGGAUGUUUCAGGUAUAUUUUUUUUACACGUUUAAUUGUCUAAUCAUGUUUUUUUCAUAUAUUUGGGAGGGCUCUGUCGUCGUCGAAGAGGACCACUGGACAUCGUGGAUCGUCGUUGGAGCAACGGUAAUCGCCGUCCAUCACCGAGAGACACGCCCAUUAGGUGGAUGGGAAAAAAAAGAUGGUACGGUUGAGUAUUGCCUAAUUGGCAUUCGCUACUUUAUUCCGUGUUGUUAUUCAUGUCUUGCACAUUUAUUGCUCUUGUCAUUUAUUCCUUACUGUAACUUUCCCUUUCACUAAGCACGCAAAUUCACUACACCUGUACAUCACACUUCAUUCACAGUUUUUUGCUUUUUUG